rnacentral:sRNA from 1 species
GGGUGUGAGGGCAACCUGGCUGCGACAUUUGUCACCCCAUUGGCUGCCAGGGUUAAUUUGGCUGAUUCAGUAAGCUAGGCAGGUGUUCCCUUUCUCUGUCACCACUUCAUGUGGAUCCCUCCCAAAGAUACACACUCGGUGGAGGAGGACAACCACGCUGACAGAGGAUGACUGUUUCCUCGGUCAAGGGUAUAGGAGUAGCUGUGCUCUCCUGCUAGAACCUCCAGUCAAGCUAAGUUUAUAACAGUAACCCCCUCUCCUUACCAAUUUGUAAUGUUUUACAGA